CAAAGGUGAGCCAGUACAGGAUGGACCCGCGUCUGAUUAGCUAGUUGGUAAGGUAACGGCUUACCAAGGCGACGAUCAGUAGCCGACCUGAGAGGGUGAUCGGCCACAUUGGAACUGAGACACGGUCCAAACUCCUACGGGAGGCAGCAGUGGGGAAUAUUGCACAAUGGGCGAAAGCCUGAUGCAGCAACGCCGCGUGAGUGAUGAAGGCCUUCGGGUCGUAAAACUCUGUCCUCAAGGAAGAUAAUGACGGUACUUGAGGAGGAAGCCCCGGCUAACUACGUGCCAGCAGCCGCGGUAAUACGUAGGGGGCUAGCGUUAUCCGGAUUUACUGGGCGUAAAGGGUGCGUAGGCGGUCUUUCAAGUCAGGAGUGAAAGGCUACGGCUCAACCGUAGUAAGCUCUUGAAACUGGGAGACUUGAGUGCAGGAGAGGAGAGUGGAAUUCCUAGUGUAGCGGUGAAAUGCGUAGAUAUUAGGAGGAACACCAGUUGCGAAGGCGGCUCUCUGGACUGUAACUGACGCUGAGGCACGAAAGCGUGGGGAGCAAACAGGAUUAGAUACCCUGGUAGUCCACGCUGUAAACGAUGAGUAC
rnacentral:rRNA from 1 species